GUACGUCGAUCAUAUACAUACAUAUAAGCGAAAGGACGUAUGAAGGAUUAUCGCGGAUGUAUAUAGGUAUACGUAAUAAUUUUGGGGUGCGGUUUAUCGGUCCGUAAAACAAGUGAGCGGGUUCGCGCUUCUAAUUCGUUGAAUAUUAACCCCGUAUGGCAACUGUAUAGAGCGGGGUGAUCACGGCGGAUAACUUCCGCGUGGUGAGAUCGCAACCACAACGCACCGGGAACCCUACACGCUAUAUACGGAGUCACCCUUCAGAAAUCACAAUAUGGCGCUAGCGCGGUUAUUUCGGCCCGUAUGUUGAUACGCGCUUUGAUUCGAAGUUUCGCGAGCGAUUCUCGGUUUCUUAUUUGAAAAUUUCUUUGAAAUCACGUCGAUGAAAUUGUACACCAACCAAUUCGUCACGCGGUUCAAAAUUUCGCUACUUAUGCGAAAUGCGACGAAUGAAAAAAUUUGAAAGUUUGAUAGGUUAUAGUUUGGAAGAAAGAGUUUCCGCAUCGAUCAUGUAUAUAUUACAUAGAUACCCGUAUGUGAAAAGAACUUAUUGAUAUUGCUGAAUCCGUACGUACAUAAGAUAAAAAUGAGAGAAACGAAAUAGAAAUAAAAAUAACAUAUUUCUAUGUACGCGCAUCGGUCUGCAUAUACAUGAAUAGAAUUGAAAAGCUUUUAAAAAUUCAGGCACACGAGCCGCGGGAGGAGGGCGAGACGGAGAUGGAGGAGUCGUAGUCCGCGGAGGUGGAGAUGAGACGAAAUGGAACGGAACGCUCUCGUACCUAUACAGCCAACGGAGGAAUGAGGCGAAGGCGCUGCAAGAAGAUGACGAGGAGAGAAAAACGGGUAUAGACGCGCAGUAAUAUCAUAUAUUGAUUGACGGAACUUGGCAGGAACGACCGAAAGUAUCGGAGGUCCAUUCCCGUCGAUACCCGCUGCAGCAUAACAGCGGUGGUGAAAAUAGUGUGAAGUCUUCUGACGCUUGUACAGAACAUUAUCUAUCGUCGAACUACGCGAAAAAAACAUCAGGAGCCUCGAAGCGAAUCCGUCCUGCAUAUAGCACACAAGACUCGUUGGUACAUCCGUAAAUCUACAUGAUUGCUGAUUAUAUUUGUGAACUGACAAUGAGUGAGAGAACAUACAUAUGUCGGUUAUCAUGUAGCCACGGAUAUCAUGUAUUCUGUAAAAUAAUUGUAAAAAAUUAUUUUUCUAUAUUAAUAAAUCCAUAAUAUCUGCAAUGA